CCUACGGGAGGCAGCAGUGAGGAAUAUUGGUCAAUGGACGAGCGUCUGAACCAGCCAAGUAGCGUGAAGGAUGACUGCCCUAUGGGUUGUAAACUUCUUUUGUCUGGGAAUAAAAUGUUCCACGUGUGGGAGUUUGUAUGUACCAUAUGAAUAAGGAUCGGCUAACUUCGGUCCAGCAGCCGCGGUAAUACGGAGGAUCCGAGGGUUAUCCGGAUUUAUUGGGUUUAAAGGGGGCGUAGGUCGAUUGGUCAGUCGAUUGUGAAAGUUUGUGGCUCAACCGUAAAAUUGCAGUUGAAACUGGCAUUCUUGAGUACAGUAGAGGUAGGCGGAAUGCGUGGUGUAGCGGUGAAAUGCUUAGAUAUCACGAAGAACUCCGAUUGCGAAGGCAGCACACUGGACUGCAACUGACACUGAGGCUCGAAAGUGUGGGUAUCGAACAGGAUUAGAUACCCGAGUAGUC
rnacentral:rRNA from 1 species